UACGUAGGGGGCAAGCGUUGUCCGGAAUCAUUGGGCGUAAAGCGCGUGCAGGCGGUUCGGUAAGUCUGCUGUGAAAGUCCAGGGCUCAACCCUGGGAUGCCGGUGGAUACUGUCGGACUAGAGUACGGAAGAGGCGAGUGGAAUUCCCGGUGUAGCGGUGAAAUGCGCAGAUAUCGGGAGGAACACCAAUUGCGAAGGCAGCUCGCUGGGACGUCACUGACGCUGAGACGCGAAAGCGUGGGGAGCAAACAGG
rnacentral:rRNA from 1 species